ensembl:lncRNA
CAUGGACAGAGACCGAGCUCAGACAACCAUCGGACGGGAGGGAAAAUGGAAUUAAAGCCACGUUUGUUCCACUGCACUUUGAUUUAUGUGCUUCAGUGUGAAAAUAGUUUGUUCUAAGCUUUGAAGACUGUUUGGAUCAUUCCAGAACUGGAGGACGUCUGGGCUUCAACAUGUUAGAAAUUCAACCUUCUCUUUUCCAGGUUUCUGCUCCAUAUUGAUCAAUAAUAGGUACUGAUUGAUCAGCUUCUUCUUCCAUGUUUUCUGUGCUGUUUGCUAACUCUAGUCUAAUCCAUGCUAAUGUGAUCUUUUUCUCAGCAGUAGAAGCUAGAUAUUUAGCUGCUGUUACUGCUGACCAAGAGGACAAACUGACUGAUGGAAAACAGUCCAAAGUCACUUUGGACAACUUUGGAGUAAUUUGGGUCAAUUUUGGAGUUAUUCUGGACAAUCAUAAGUCUUUUUGGAAAGUUUUGGGUGAUUUUGUACAAAUUAAGGGUAGUUCAGAAUGAGUUUCAAAUCAUUUUGGUAAAAUUUGGAGUUAUUCUGGACAAACUUUAAGUCUAUUUUGGAAAGUUUUGGGUGUUUUUGGACAAAUUUGGAGUAAUUUUGGUCAAAUGUGGACCAAUCAAAAAAGUAAAAAUAAUUUUUCUUGAUAAUUUGCACAACAGGGU